ensembl:lncRNA
GUCUGCUGUGUACGUGGGGUUGUGCUGACAAAAGUAGGCUGAGCUGCUCUGGAGAGAUGGAAUGGGGCCAAAGUGUGAUGUCCCCAUGAGCUGGGUGGGCUGGGGUGGCUUGACGCUGCUUUGUACUGUGGCAGAGCCUGCCUGGCCUCACCUGUGCCCUGCUGACAGCAGCUGGAGCAGCUCUGACUUUCCACUUGCUGUAAACAGGAACAUUAACCACGAGUAUCUUUGGUUGUGCAAGCUGGCAAAUACUGAAGGCAGGUAUAUAAUUUUACAAAGGUUCACUUGGAAGGAAGCAGUGCCUCAGUCCCAGGUUUGCUGUCUUAGCCAGGCCCUGAUGCUUCCUUGCAGAUACUAACCACUUUACCAUGCCCUAACCUUUGAUAGGGUAGAAAACCACAUGAUGCAGCUUUUACCAUUGGAGUAUGAAGAACAUCAUUUCUGGGACCUUCAGAAGGUUUGUACUAGCGGUACACACUUGGAACAAUGAGACUCUGAUUUAUGUUCUGCAUAUGUACCUGCUAUUCCUAUUUGUGUACAGAAAAGCUCCAAUUGCAUAGGCAAUGUACAGAUGGUGAUUUGUGAGAAAAAUUGAGAUCAGAGAUUUUCCAGGGGAGAAUUUGAUUGGGAAAUGAAUUAUUAACUUAGUGUAUUAGGAAAUUUCUGUUGUGUAGGAUUAAAAGGAAGAUUUGGUUCUGUGUAAAUGAAAGAAUAUAUGGUACUUUUUCCUUUUGAAGAUGCUACCUGAACUGGUGAAUCAACUCACAGUUGCAUUGUCUAUUCAUCAUUUUUUGAAUGAAAAGGUACUAUGCAGUCUAAAAAUAUUCUAGUGAUUAAUUUCCUAUAGAUUAAUUACUGUUUCAGUAUGCAGUUGUUGCCUAUUAUGUUGCUGCAGUUUAAGAAUACUUUAAAUGACACUAAAUAUUUAAAGUUACAGCUCUUAGUGAGUUGUUUUCUUUUGGUUUGAAGUGCUUGUAAAACGACUUUUAUGUGGUUUUAUUUGACAUAUAGUAUAGAAAAUUCUCUUUUACUGUAUAGGAAAAAUUAUAUCAAACCAGCAAAAAUAAUUUCAAGAACACAAGCACUUUCAGGAGUUGAUUUUGAUGAACACUGAGUUUUUUCUCCCUGUGCUUUUGGCCAUAGUAUAUCUGAAUUGUUGACAGUUAAGUAUAAACUUCAGUACAUGAAGUUUAAGAUUGAUAUUUCUUUUCCUGCAACUCAUCUAUCCACUGAAGAUGCAGUGUACUGCAAAAGGGUAGUCUUCAUCUUCAGUCCUUACUGACUUUUUUUAAAUUAAUGAGUUGAACUGCUUGUGCUCCUUGGACAACAGUGUCUGCACCUAGUGACAGAACUAGCCUGGCAUAACUAAGAAACAGCUUAUUUCUGUUCAGCAACAGAGAAUGCAUGGCAGCUAAAGUUCCCAGUACUUUAAGUCUUGCAAUUCAAAAACAAGUGCAGUGGUAAUCUGGAUCUGAAUGUGUUAACAGGAAAAAUGGAUCUGCCUGCCCUGAGCUGAUGCCUGCCAUCUCACUGCUGUUGGCUACUAAGAGCAUCAUAGUCACACACACACUCUCCUCCAAUCCCAAAAGGAUCUUAAUGGUACAUUUCUAUCAUAUUUUCCCCACUGUACUUAAUCUGUAAUUUCCAUCCACUUAUUAUUGCCUCUUCACAUACAAGACCAUUCUAUGUAUAUCUAUGUGACUUUAAUUUCUGUUACUGAAGAUAUAUUUUAAUCAAAACCUGGUGAUAUUUGUUAACUGCCAAAGACAGCGGGGGCGGGGGGCAUAAAUCUUCUCUCUUUAGAGCAAAAUGUUAAUGUGGUAGCUAGUAAAUAUUCCAAAACAUCCUUUGAUCAGAGGGAAUAACCUGUGAAUUUCAAAAGGUGGCAUUUAAUCUUUCCUAUGUGCCCUACAUCUUUACCUCUCCUGGUCACAGCAAAGUCAUGCCAUCAACUCUGAGAUUAUUAUUUGCUGGCAGAUAAUGAUGUUCAAACCAAGUAUACAAAGUGGCUUUGUAAAUCAGUGAGCAGACUUUAUUGCUUGGAAUUGUUGCUCCUGCACACAAUGGCAUUCCCUGGGGUUCCCUAGAGCAGGGCCUCCUCCAUAUGUUCUUGCAGGCUGCAGGAGCCAUCCUUGCAGUGAAAGGGCUGUGCUCUUGACUGGAGACCCAGAUGGAGGGCUAAGGCAGAAGUUACCAUUGCAGUCAAUGUCAGUUCUGCUGGAAAGAACUUGGAUCAAUGACUUUUCCUAUUUUGAGAUUACUCCAGCCAAUCAUUUGUUGUGAACACAAACACUCAGAAUCUUGAGAGUAUAAAAAUGAAACAUUUUAGCAUUAGCAUAACAGUCAUGGAGUGGAACAGAGAGUAGGCAGUUUGCUCAUACUUGAAGGACCUCAACCCAAAGGCUGUGGUAUUGCAGUGCUAUUUUGAUAGCUUCUUUGACAUAAGGAAGUGUGGGUCAGUCUUUAAUUUGCCUCUGGAUGGAGAAGUACUCCUGCUGGGUAUAGUUAAGAUGGGAGCUGGCACAUCUGAAUCAGGACAACUUCUGACCAACUUAGUAUACAAUCCACCUCCCCCCCCCUUUUUUUUUUUUUCCUGACUCGGAAGCUUUCUUUACUAGUCUGCUUCUAAGAUAGAUGUAAGUCUGUGUGAAUUAAACAAAACAAGCAAACCUCCUUGGGGAAGACUCGUCAUGCACUUGCCUGCUCCAGUCCCUCCUAAUGGUUGAAGUCCUUCAGGAGCUUCUUGGAGCAUGGGUCCUUCCUGCAGGCUGCUUCUUCACAAACUGCUCUUCACAAACUGCUGCAAGUCCUGCCAGCAAGCCUGCUCCAGUGGUGGGCUUCUCUCUCAACAUACUUUUAGUGGAUCGAGUAUGUCAUUAUGUCAAAGUCCUCAAACAUGUAGGUUUCCAGUAGAAUAUUAAUCUUAUUAAUUAAUAAUAAUUAAUUAUUAUUAAUCUUAAUAAAGGAAAGCUUAAGUCCGAAGAUGAGAGUCUA